rnacentral:rRNA from 1 species
AAUCAACGCUGGCGGCGUGCCUCAGACAUGCAAGUCGAACGAUUAAAGCUCUCUUCGGAGAGUGUAUAGAGUGGCGCACGGGUGAGUAACACGUAAGUAAUCUACCUUUGAGUGGGGAAUAACGUCCGGAAACGGACGCUAAUACCGCAUAAUGCAGCGGCAUCGCAAGAUGACAGUUGUUAAAGAUUUAUCGCUUGAAGAGGAGCUUGCGGCAGAUUAGCUAGUUGGUAAGGUAAUGGCUUACCAAGGCUACGAUCUGUAACCGGUCUAAGAGGACGGUCGGUCACACUGACACUGAAUAACGGGUCAGACUCCUACGGGAGGCAGCAGUCGGGAAUUUUGGGCAAUGGGCGAAAGCCUGACCCAGCAACGCCGCGUGAAGGAUGAAGUAUUUCGGUAUGUAAACUUCGAAAGAAUGGGAAGAAUAAAUGACGGUACCAUUUAUAAGGUCCGGCUAACUACGUGCCAGCAGCCGCAGUAAC